rnacentral:rRNA from 1 species
AGUGGCAGACGGGUGAGUAACGCGUGGAUAAUGUGCCUCUUUGCUGGGGAUACCGUUCCGAAAGGAACGUUAAUACCGAAUGUGCUCGACCGGUGGCAUCACUGGAUGAGUAAACUGUUAGGGUGAAGAGAGCAGUCCGCGUUCUAUCAGCUUGUUGGUGGGGUAACGGCCUACCAAGGCUACGACGGAUACUGGUCUGAGAGGAUGAUCAGUCACACUGGAACUGAGACACGGUCCAGACUCCUACGGGAGGCAGCAGUGAGGAAUCUUGCACAAUGGGUGAAAGCCUGAUGCAGCGACGCCGCGUGAGGGACGAAGGCCUUCGGGUUGUAAACCUCUGUCAGUAGGGAAGAAGAAUGACGGUACCUACCGAGGAAGCUUCGGCUAACUACGUGCCAGCAGCCGCGGUAAGACGUAGGAAGCAAGCGUUGCCCGGAAUUACUGGGCGUAAAGAGCUCGUAGGCGGGGGCGUGCGUCCGAAAGGAAAUCUCAAGGCUCAACCUUGGGGCUUUUUCGGAUACGGCGCUUCUUGAGGGUGAGAGAGGAAAGCGGAAUUCCAGGUGUAGCGGUGAAAUGCGUAGAUAUCUGGAGGAACACCAGCGACGAAGGCGGCUUUCUGGCUCAUUCCUGACGCUGAGGAGCGAAAGCGUGGGUAGCGAACGGGAUUAGAUACCCCGGUAGUCCACGCCGUAAACGAUGG